UCUGAUCAGUUGCAAAGUCGAGCUCAAUCGGUGAUGAAGUACGCGAGUUGGUGGCAAGAAAAAAAGUAAAUAAUAAGUGAUAGAAGACACAUAGAUUUUUAAAAUAAAAGGAACGAGAUUUGAAAUUUAGUUUCGAAAUAUUAAAAUUUAAAUGCUGUUUACAGUAAGCGGCUUACUGAAGCUAUUUAUGCUUCAUUAAACUAUAAUUGGCCGAUCAAGCAUACCGAUCGGGAGCCGAAUUUCAUUUGCGAUCGCGUAACGAACGUUUAAUGAGCCACGGGGUUAAGACCUCAACAGAAAUACGCGAUAGUCGUUAUCGCCACAAGCCGAUGGCGCUCGCAGUUCGGUCCAACCGGUGCUGGGGUGCACUGCUUGGGCAAUAAUCGGGCAGUUGGGCCAGCUGGCCGGUGCUGCGGUGGCGGUUUUGUCUCGUGUAAGCUGCUCGAUAUUACUAUAAAAUUGCUUUUUGGUUUGCACACGUGAUAGCUUCAAAUGCGGUAUCAAUAUCGGAUAAUACAAGUAUACUACUGGAACAUUGGUGAUAUUGAUGGAGGCAACACUACGGAACUUAGACACAGAUGAUUAUUCAGCUCAGCAUUAUGAUAAUGCCUUAAACCUUCUGUGAUCAUCGUAAAAUAUAUUGAAAUGGUGAAAGUCGUUUUUGUCGGAAAAUUAUGCAAUUAAGUGGUUUAUAUUUCGCUAAUAUCGCUUUUCUAAGUACUAGUGCCGCAGGAGAUAGUUCAAACGACACAUAGUAGACCCCUGCUGCCCCAGUGCUUAUCAAAGCGUGUCUAGUGUCAACUGUCUGGUGUGUAACGGUUAUAAAAUUACUACAAAAACAACUAAAAGUGCAUAAGUGAAGAAAACAAUUAAUAAUUUAGUGACUGGUGAGAUAUUAGAGCUAAUGGUGAAUAGUGUAGACGGGUUAUGGUUCAGUCAUGGUUUAUGGAUUCGGGAAUCGGGAAUCGGCUGGAACUUAAUGAUCAGUUGGGGAAAAUAUAUUAUCUAAAUUCAAAGUGUUAUAUAGUGGAUAAAUAAUAUGGAUAAUAUUAAAAUACAAGCCACAAAUUGAAAGUGAAUUAUGGCUAAGUCUUGAACGUUAUGUAAGUAUUAAUAACUAUUGAACGGAUAAAUAUGCUAAUCCUAAACACAAAACGGACAAUUUCAAAAUGAAAAGUUUCAUUCACUGGAGCCCACUGCUAACUAUCCUAUUAUUUAUGCAGACGUUUCUUUGAGGAAGAUAGUAUCAAUUCUUUCAUUGGUCUCCUAUUCAUCUUCAGCGCAGAUACAGAUUAAGUACAUAGACGUAAGCUUUUAGAAUUGCAAAAUACACAAAGCGAAACGAACAUGCAAUAUGUAUUGUGUUAAACAAAAUCGAAAUAAUGAUUAUUUAAUGAAUUUUGUCCAACAGAGUAUUGAAGUGCGCAUGCAGGCUUCCACUUUCCCAAUGUUCAAUUCUUUUGUGAAAUUUUUUUAUCAAACAAAAUUUAAUAAAAAAAAUUUUCAUUUAACUCUGUCGCAAUGUGCAAGGCAAACAAGUCUAUAACGGAAGCGCAAAAGGUAUAACGGAAGUGAAGACAAGAUUGGGUCGAUAAAGUGAAUAAUGGAUCAAUACGCUAAAAUAUGAAGUGGCAACGUUAGAAAAUAAGAACUGACGUCCAGGAGUUAUCAGUAUUGUAUAAAUUUUGAACAAACUUCUAUGCUUCCUCAAUUGAGAUGAAAUUCUUCAAAAUCAGCGAUAUUAUCACUAAGCUUUCUUAUAAGGAGAUACAGCGUACACUAUGGUUCUCUUUAAUGCAGAAAAUAAUCAAUUUCAAUGUAUUAUUUGUGGUUUUUUACAUAUUAACCCAACUGAAAUAAGGUACUAGAUACAGCGUAACAAAAAGGAACACCCUAAUGCAUAAUUACUCAUAUUUCAACAUGGAAAUUUAUUAAAGGAAAAACAUAUGCAUGGAAUCGUAUGUGAUGAGUUGAGCUGAGUUUUCAUUUAGAUACAUAUUUUAUGUGCAAUAUUCAUAUAAAUUAAUAUUAGUUUGAACCGGCUGCAAAGCUCAAAGCUUAAAAUUUUUGUCAACAAAUGUUCUGUUCUGUUCUUUUAGAAUAAAUAAAAACCCACUAAGCAGAAUUAGUCUUUUAAAAAUCCUAAAAGCCAUAGAAAGCUGAAAGCCGAAACCUCAAGAUGUUGACAUUUGAGCUGAGCUUAGGCUCGCUGCAGAAGUGCUCACUGCGCAACAUGGCCUACAUUCGGGAGUACUUGUCUUUCUGCUUGAACAGAGUGCCAUUGCAUGCACGCCUGCAAGUGAGGUUUUCAUAAAAAUACACACGGCACAUAUACGGUGUAUGUAGUAUAUAUGUAUACUAAUUCUGUGCAUUUGGAUUUGGAUAUGGCUGCGGUGUUCUGCACAUAUAUUUACAAGCAUUUAUUUAUGUAUUCCACUGUUGUCGGCUUUACAUGCUUGAUGACAAAAUGCGAAAUGCAAAAAUCGCUCAAAGUUCCAUGUACUGAUUCCGGCCACCGAGCACAAAGCAAAAUUUGAGUAGCCAGCCUUGUAGGAGGGAGGAGGAACGGGGAGUGCCGAGUGUAUAAAUAAUGCUACCAGCAUAACAAAAGCCGGGACAAUGUAUACACAGCAGCUUAAUAAGAAAACAGACAACAAGUGCCGCUGCUGUAAGCGCAUAAAUGCAAAUGUGUGUGUGAAGUAAGCAAAAGCGGGCUCUUAAGCCAAACAACCCGCAAAUGUUGGCAUAAAGCUCAAAAGCAACGCAAACUUCACUCUGUUGAUACACUAAACUCUCGGCUCCAACAAUUCGCCAAUCCUUUUCUUAGCCGCUGCAAACAGACAUCACUAGCAGCACGCAUGCCUACAUCAACGCACACUCAUACACUUGUAAUAUUGUGUGUAAGGCAGCUGCAAAUACAUAUAUUAGCAUGACAUCUUACAUAAACAAACUCGUACUUUGGCGCAGCAACAUUAAGUCUGCAACGUACCAUAGUGCUUUGAUUGUUUCUUUUUUGUGGUUUGCGUAGAAUGAAGUAUAAUUGACGUGCCUAACGCAUGCUUUGCUUUAAGACGAUGUGAGCUUGAAGACACCUUCAUCCAUAGGCAGAGGCUACUGUGGAAUUCAUGAGAAAUUUCUGCUUAAUUUCACUUUAAGUGCCGCCCUAAUGAAUAUACGCACUCAUAUACAUACAUACAUAGGUAUGUGGAUAUGAUUCAUGCACAACAGAGAACAACGCAUAAAACCAGCACACAACAACAACAACAACAACUGAAAUGGCCAGAAGCCUAUUACAUUGCAUACAAGGCGAGUAACAAUGCAAAAACAUUACCUAAAUGUUUAUUCAAGUUAUUUAACUUAAACUUCAAGUUAAAUUAAGCAAACAAAGACAGCAGCAAAGAAAUGACAGCCUCAGCGGUAGUGAGGGGCAGGUUAAGCUGAACGGCGCAGCUUGAGCAGCAUGCGUAAAGCGCAGCGACAACUUCGGUCGUAAGAAGACACAACAACGCCAACAACAUGUGCACAGAGCGGCCACAUUAGAGCCAUUAGCUAAGGGAUCUCAAGGUAAAUAUUUAAAGUGGAAACAACAAUAUGUCAACAGCAACAACAACCAUAAAGAGCGCUGUGGACCUAGUAAAGCGAGUACAAAGGACUAACGAACCUCCAGGAGAGCAAUAACUACUCGAGGGGGAGAGCGGUAGCAAGCCAUGUAUGUACAUGAUAAUAUUAGUAAAACCAACAAUGUGCAAUGUGACUGAAUGCAAGCGCAUGUGUGCCAAAGCAAAGAUCAACGACAACAGAUGAUAACGACCAGGGAAACAAUCAAGCAAGCAGGCUAAGCAAAUCCACAAACUUCGCCGCUUGCCACUGCGUAUACGUAAUGUCUAAUUCACUUAUAAGCCUUAUGGUGGCUAUGUAAGCCUCAUUGUAUAUAAGCAUAAUACAGUUAUAAACAUGGUGUCCUUAACUGAAACGUGUGUUAGUGUGGGUAGAUGUCUCAAUCAAAAGUUUCUUCCACGCGCACUUUUUGUAAAAAAAUCGAUUUUGCAAAUAAAUGUACAAAGAAUUGGUCUCUUAGUGUUUGCAUGCUGGAAGAUUAUCAGAAGAUUACAUUUACAUAUAUUAUUGUGCGCGUCGCUUUAAUUCCAUUGCGGUCCACUAUUUCGGGAAAAGUGAAUAUGAUUCGAUUUAGUGAGCACCGUAUACAUUGAAAUAAAUUCAUAUCCCUGGUUACCACAUGCUCAAGGAUCGUUUGAUGCGGAAAUUUCCAAGCUUAUUAAAUUACAUUUUAUGAAUUCCUUAGCGUGUCAGACAUGAAGUUCCAUUCUGAGCGGCACACAAGCACACAUGUAUGUGCAUGCACAAAUGGCAUAAACGGCAUGCGAAUGCCAAUAGAUAGGAUAAGCAUAAUGUGCAGUUAAGUUGCAAACAUUACUCACUUAUGGAAGGCGCCAAGCAGCCACAGACACACAUUUAUGGCUUGCAUUAGCGCUUAAAUGGAAUUGCAAGUUGUGGGCAAAGAAUAUUGCACUCCUACACACACACACACACACAUACACACAAAAUAAUAUAAGUAAAAGCACUUGCAAGAAUCAUAAGUAAAUUGGAAUAGUUUGGCUGAACGCCAUUUUAACUCGUUCUACAUCGGAAAAAAUACUGUAGCAAUCUAAAUAAUGUAAGAAUAAUAUCAAAGUGAAAGUUUUGCUAGCAAUUUGUAUUUAAUGCAUAUUUAUUUCAUUAUAUUAUUAAAAUAAACUCAGUUUUGUACCGAGUUGCGAUCUAAAUUUUCCCGCAAA